rnacentral:lncRNA from 1 species
GCUGACUUCUUUAACGAUUUCCUCAUAUCUCUUCUGGCUGUAGGGUGGUUCAGUGGAAUCCAUUUUGUUAACACCAACAAUUAGUUGUUUUACACCCAGUGUGUAAGCCAGAAGGGCAUGCUCACGGGUCUGCCCAUUCUUGGAGACCCUGCUUCAAAUUCACCAACACCAGCAGCAACAAUCAGGACAGCACAGUCAGCCUGAGAUGUGCCUGUAAUCAUGUUUUUGAUAAAGUCUCUGUGUCCUGGGGCAUCAAUGAUGGUCACAUAAUACUUGCUGGUCUCGAAUUUCCACAGGGAGAUAUCAAUGGUGAUACCACGUUCACGUUCAGCUUUCAGUUUAUCCAAGACCCAGGCAUACUUGAAGGAGCCUUUUCCCAUCUCAGCAGCCUCCUUCUCAAAUUUUUCGAUAGUUCUUUUGUCGAUCCCACCACAUUUGUAGAUCAGAUGGCCAGUAGUGGUAGACUUGCCCGAAUCUACGUGUCCAAUGACGACGAUGUUGAUGUGCUGUCUUUUGUUUGGAUUUGGCAAUUACUGGUAGGUUAUUGGUACUUGUAUUAUAUCCAGCAGGAUCUUAGGUGUCUCACGAGAUUUUAAAGGGUUUUAAUAUGUGGCGUGUUCUCUGUGUUUUCCUCUAAGAUCUUGAUUGUUUUCUGUCUCACAUUAAGAUCUUUCAUCCAUUUUGAAUUGAUUUUUGUGUAUGGUGUAAGAAAGUGGUCCAGUUUCAUUCUUCUGCAUGUUGUUGUCGUAUGUUUUCCCAAUACCAUUUGUUGAAGAGACUGACUUUUUUUCCAUUGGAUAUUCUUUCCCGCUUUGUCAAAGAUUAGUUGACAAUAGAGCUGUGAGUCAAUUUCUGGGUUUUCUAUUCUGUUCCAUUAAUCUAUGCCAUAGCAACUUCUUACUAUAUACAUCUCUGGAGGCAAGGGAAACAAAAGCAAAAAUGAGCUGUUAGGACUUCAUCAAGAUAAGCUCCUGCACAGCAAAGGAAGCAAUCAGUAAAACUGAAAGACAACCUAUGGAAUGGUAGAAGAUAUUUGCAAAUAAUGUUUCUAAUGAAGAGUUAGUACCCUAAAUCUAUAAAGAAUUAAUUUAUGAAGCUUAGUACCCUAAAAAUAAAUAAUCCAGUUAAGAAAUGGGCAGAAGACAUGAACAGACAUUUUUCCAAAAGAGAUGUCUAGAUGGCUAAGAGACACAUGACAAGAUGCUCAACAUCACUCAUCAUCAGGGGAAUUCAAAUCAAAAGCAUGAUUAGCUAUCCCCUCAUACCUGUCAGAAUGGUUAAAAUUAACAACAGGUGUGGGUGAGGAUGCAGAGAAGAGGAACCCUCUUUUAGUGUUGGUGGGAAUGCAACUGGUGGUUCCUCAAAAAGUUAAAAAUAGAACUACCCUAUGAUCCAGCAGUUGCAUUACUAGUUAUUUACCCAAAGGCUACAAGCAUAGUGAUUUGAAAGGGCACAUGUACCCUGAUAUUUAUAGCAGCAUUAUUAACCACAGCCAAACUAUGAGAAGAACCUAAGUGUCCAAUGACUGAGGAAUGGAUAAAGAAGAUGUGGUAUAACCACCAAAAAGAAUGAAAUCUUGCCAUUUGCAGUGAUGUGGAUGGAGCUAGUGUGUAUUACGCUAAGUGAAAUAAGUCAGUCAGAGAAAGACAAUAUCAUAUGAUUUCACUCAUAUCAGCAAUUUAAGAAACAAAACAGAUGAAUAUGGGGAAGGGAAAAAAGAGAGGGGGGAAGCAAACAAUAAGAAACUCUUAACAAUAGAGAACAAACUGGGGUGGAUGGGGAGAGGUGGGUGGGGGAUGGGCUAGAUGGGUGAUAGGUAUUAAGGAGGGCACUUGUAUCGAGCACUGGGUGGUGUGUGUAAGUGGAUGAAUCACUAAUUCUAUACCUGAAACCAAUUUUAUCAUAUGUUAACUAACUGGAAUUUAAAUAAAAACUUGAAAAAAAGAAUAAGGCAUGGCUUGUUCUCCAUGAACUUUUCCAAUUGUUUGAAACAAUAAGGCUAGCCACCAAGACAUGAUAUUGUUAAGCUAUAUACAUAUGUAUAUAAAAGAUAUGUCAGCCCCUAUACUAGACUCUUUCCUAUUCUACACAUCUUUUAAUACCAUUCCUGUGAAGGAGACAUCACUUUGCAGAUGUGAACCCUUGACAUUGAGGACUUUCCUACGAUCAGUCAGGUGGUAAGUGGAAAAGUGGAGGCAGCACAUCUGUCUGUAUGACUAGACUUAUUCUUGUUCCAUUAGUAAGAAAAUUACUGAUAAUUUUUUUAGAGUAAGACAGUAUUUCCUUUUCAGUGAAGAUACAACUGAAUUCCAGAGGAUACUCCUGUCAACUCAAGAAUUCCACCAAAAGGCAAAGUGUUUUUUUCCAAGGUAACUUAGUUUUCAGAAAAUGGAGACAUUAAUAUGUUCAUAGGAUGUCCAAUAUCAAUAACCACUUCUUCAGUUUUUCAUAUCGCCACAGCAGAAAGUAGAAAGUCUCAACCUGAGUCCCAGAACAUUUACAUGUUUCACAAUGGAAAGUUGUAGAAACCACCACAGAGAGCCCAGAUGCUUCUACAGACUCUGAAUUAUACCUCCCACUAGCACCAUAGUUUCUUUUCUAGAGAAGCUUAAUGAGCUUCCAGUACUGAGAAACUUCAAGGCUUUUCCAAGGGGGCAGACCUCCCGGUGAAGAUAUGGAUCAAGAAAUCAGGAGAGUGCACAGAACUGUUUGGAUGAAAAGAGGGCUUUGAAAACACAGAUUACUCUGACUUAUACUUCACAGUGAUACCAUAGGACACAACUACAGGCAAGGAGUGGCUUGCUGUGGGACCUGAAGGCUUUGACCAGACUUCACCUUGUGUGGUGGCCCCUGGGGGAACAGUGAACAAUGGAUCUUCCAUCUCCAGGACCAGAGCUGCUUCCUUAUUUACAGGAAAAAACAGGGAGAUUUUCUACAUCUGUAAGCUAAGGAUAAUUAUACUUUGAUUGUUGUUACUAUUAACUGUAAUUUAUGUUUAAAGCACUUCAUGGUUCACAAUAAAUGGCGGCUCAUUAUGAGAAAACAUUUCCUACAAGUAAUUUAAAGUGUAUUGGAAAUUUGCCAGGUGGAAAUGGCUGUAGAAAUACAUCUCUUAUAAUUUGACCUUGAGAAUCUUUAACUCUGACAGGUUAAA